UGCAGAUUUGUUUUCUCUCUCUCUUUCUUUCUCUCUCUCUCUCUCUCUCUGGUUGGAUUAUCUGUGUGUGUGUGAGAGAGAAAACUCACUGCGUCUGCGUGCUGGGGGAGGAGUAUCUGUGUCACUCCCUCUCUCUCUUUCUCCUUUUUCUCCUCCCGCUCUAGACUUGCUGUUUUCCACCCUCCCAUUUUCUCUUUAUUUGUCUCUCUCGCUCUCUCUCUCUCGCUCGCUCUCUCUCUCUCUCUGAAGUGCAAGGCCAUGUGGGACGAGUGAUGAGGAGUUUCUCUCCUCUACGUCUCCUGUUUCAUUUCCCCCCUUUCUCUCUCUCUCUGCCUCUUUCGCUUUCUGUACGGGUUCGUAUUCCCAGUCUUUGCUGUCUUUAAGCUGUGCGUGACGUGGGGAAUGACCGCUGGAGACGAGUUUAGAGAGAUUGCGAGGGAAGGAAGGAAAAAAGGAGGAAAGGAAAAAAACGAGCUGCUUUUGCUGCCGCGGGGCCUCUCGACAAACGGGCCCAGCCGUAGAGAGAGAGAGAGAGAGAGACAGGGCGAAAGAGCCGUACUACAGCCCACCCAAAACCUGCCAACGCGUUCCUGUUUUCCAGCACAUUACUGCGCUGUACACGCACGCGAUUUUGAUGCUAGCAAGCGUUGGCGGCAAAACCAAAUUUUGCAUUUUUCAUGCAAUUUUGUUUGUUGCAAGAAAAGCAUUUCUUUUUAGAUUUUGUUUUUAGCGAAAGAGUGAACGUUCCACCAUCCUGACCCGCGCCAGCCCGCUCCGGGCCCGAGCGCCGCGCUGCCCGCGGAGCGGCACGAGGAACACAUUUUGGAAGUACCAAUCCAUCUCGAAGCCCUCCGAUCGGGAGUUCGGCCGUGUUGGAUCUCUUGUCUGGGACAGGUGUCAAUUGCUCCUAAAAAGCAAAGAGAAAAAAAUACGAAGUCGUGGAGGUGAACAUCCGCUCGAUGAACAUGUUGGGGGGUAAAGAGUGUGCUGGAUUCUUCCUUUGCUCGAACUCACGUGUCCAUGCCACUAUUGCACAAACCCUGAUAGCUGCAAAAAACACGCUCCGGAGGCUGCAAAAACUGAAAGGAAAAAUGUAGAAAGAGGAAGAGGAGGAGGUGGGCAGAAGACGAAGAUUGUGGUGGUGGCCGGGGGGCGGGGGGAAUUCAAGCUUGUUAAAUGUUUCUCAGGCCUCUGAGAGUCGAUCGCAUGUGCUGUGGUAACCGAGGCAUGAUUUGCAUGCAGCAGACACGCUAAUUGUGUGUUUGCUAACACGCGGCAUUCACAGAGAGCCUCUCCGUUUUGCAGACGGGGUUCACACACGCCUCCUAGACACCCGAGAGGCCUCCUUUUGUUCCAGAGGCCGAGCGGAGCGACCCGUGAGCCGAAUCGGAGCUCUGCGUGGACCUGCUGACCGAACGAGAGGGGAAGUAAAAUUCGAGAGCUCCUUCUCACUUUCUCUCCGCAGGAAGAAGGGCCGGCUGAGGAGGAUGCUUUUGGAAAUCGCUGGCAACCCUGUAGAUGUGUGGAGAAGGGAUGUUACAGAUGGACUGAAGCAGUCACGUUUUACGUAUUUCAGUCGUGCACAGCCCAAUCUCAGACGUUGAACCUCACGCACAUCUGGAGCAGGAGCUGAUGGCGUUUAAGAAUAGCAGCCCUGUUAACCUGUGCUUCAGCAGAUCCUCUCAUGACCUGUCUGGAUUUCUCCCGUCUGCAUCUGAGACCACUCAGGGUCGACACACAGACCCCAACGGUCCAGAUUACACACCGGGUUGGAUAAUUACAUUAGAUAUCAUACAUAGUCACUGUAUUCGGGAAUGAUGAAAUUAAUGUCAACACUGCAGACACUUUCGUGGUGAUAGUGUUAUGGGCGUUUCACACGGUACGUAGCAAGCGGUGAAAUCGCCAUGCCGCAACAUCUUUUCUCGUGUAGUGGAAGCUCUUUGUGCACAAUUUAGUGCAAAUAUGUUUAUUUUUAAUGGCUUGAAGAACCGUGUCUGUGGAAGGGGCAGGAUUUUUGGCGAGCGUACUGACUCUGCAAUCGCCCUCUUUUUGCCUCCUAUUGAAAAUGAACUAGACACUCACGGUUGCUGUGUACCGUGUAAACGCCCAUUACAGUUAAGGUACCAAGAGACCAGAUGACUUUGGGCCAGAUCCACACCAGCGCAGAUUCGGCCCAGGUCGUCUGUCGGCGUACUGUAUGAUAUAUGGGUACAGUGCUGUUUGUUUAUAUGUGCAGAUAAAAAAAACAUUUACCUUCAUACAGACGGUAACUUGAUAGAUCAGUUUUGUAAAGAAUAUGACAUAAUUUUUUAUAAAAAUUUAUUUAUGUAAAAAUAAGCAGUGUGUAAAAUCUGCAUAUUUGAAUUUAGUGUUAUUAUAUUUGAAUUUAGUGUUAUUAUAUUUGAAUUUAGUGUUAUUAUAUUUGAAUUUAGUGUUAUUAUAUUUGAAUUUAGUGUUAUUAAUUUUAAUUUAGUGUUAUUAUAUUUUAAUUUAUGUUAAUAAAUGUUAAUUUAGUGUUAUUAUUAGUCAUCCAAAUUUCAUCCAACACCAGUACACUGCAAAAAUGACUUUCUUACUUGUGUCUUGUUUUCAGUACAAAUAUCAAAAAAUUCUUUAAUCAAGAUGCAUUUUCUUGAUGAGCAAGAAGAAAAAGAAAAUAAGUCUAGUUUUUACACCAAAAAUAUAAAAUUUAAGUGAAUUUGUGCUUAAAACAAGCAAAAAAGGUAAGAAAAAAACUUGAAACAAGUUUACUUAAUUCUCUUAAUUCAAAAAAAGUAAAAAAAAAAUCUUUUUUUUCUUUCUUACCCCACACUGCAAAAAAAAAGAAUCGUAGUAUUUUGUCUUGUUUUCAGUAAAAAUAUCAAAAAAUUCUUAAAUUAAGAUGCUUUUUCUUGAUGAGCAAAACGACCCAAGAAAAUAAGUCUAGUUUUUAGACCAAAAAUAUCAAAUUUAAGUGAUUUUGUGCAUGAAACAAGAAAAAAAAUCUGCCAAUGGGGUAAGCAAAUAUUUAUUGAAUUUUUUUUACUUUAAUGUUUAUGAAAAAUGUUCAAGAUUUUUUUGCUUACCCCAUGAUAUUUUUGGUCUAAAAAAUAAACUUAUUUUCUUGGGUCGUCAAGAAAAAGCAUCUUUAUUUAAGAAUUUUUAAAUGUUUUUACUGAAAACAAGACAAAAAACUAAUCAUUUUUUUCUUGAAAAUAAUUUUUUCAUUGGCAGAUUUUUUUUUUUUUGCAUGUUUCAAGCACAAAUUCACUUAGAUUAAAUAUUUUUGUCAAAAAAUAGACUUAUUUUCUUAGGUCAUUUUGCUCAUGAAUUUUUUGAUAUUUGUACUGAAAACAAGACAGAAAUAUUAAGUAAGCGAGUAAUUUUUUGCAGUGUAGACAUUAACAUUAAUCCUAUUGUAUGUUGUUUUCCCUUUUAAGUGUGAAUGUGGAGAAACAAACCUGUGAAGAUGAAGAUGGACAAAAGACAUGGAUUACACCUUGAUUUGUUUAAAAACAAGAGCAUAUGAAAGCAAAUAUGAAAAUUUCCUGAACAUAUGAAAGCUGAUGAUUUUAUGAAAGGUUUUGUCAAUGAAAGUUGCUAUUUACAACACAUUUGACUCGUAGUAGUGAAGCAUUUCUGAGUUUAAUGAGGACAAAAUUUAGGGCGGGACUAAAUUGUAUUAGUAAGAAAUAGAUUGGAUGGGGAAAAGUGGUCUCUGUAUGAUCGGACUGUUCGGAGAAGAGAACAUUUAUGAAGACAAACAGUUUUGUUUAAGAUAUUGAGUAGGAGGUUUUAAGAUAAGGUAAGGUCAGUGUUUUUUUGUUGAUCAUUAUUUUGUCAGUCUUUAUACUAACAGUAGCUACAAAAUGACUUUCACAAGCACAAGGAAACCAGUCAGAAAUCUUUUUAUGAAAACUCUUUGUGUGUUUUUAUCUGUGUGGUGUAAGAUGUAUUGUAUUCACAGCGGAUCGGCUUGUGUCGGGGUGUCAGACUGUCCUUUGGGGUGAGGUAGUAGGUUGUAUAGUUGUGGGGUGAUAUACUUCCUGUUAGAUAACUAUACAACUUACUGUCUUUCCUGAAGAGGCUGUAAUAUCUUCAUCAUCAUCAUCAUCUUCUUCUUCAAGCCGUGCAGACACCAGAAGUGAAACCUGUGAGGAGUCGACCUCUUUCAUCAGAUUUAUUUCUUAUUAAAAGUGAAUGAAGUGUGAAAUGUGUCUGGGUUCUUCUGAUGCUUAUAUACCGAGGGUUGUUUGAGUGGUUUGUUUGGAUUGAUUGAUUGAUUGAUUGAUUGAUUGAUUGAUUGAUUAUGGGAUGGUUCGGGUUGUUCCUGAUGUUCGUACAGGGUGAGGUAGUAGGUUGUGUGGUUUCAGGGUAGUGAUUUUGCCCCAUCAGGAGGUAACUAUACAACCUACUGCCUUCCCUGGAGGGCAGCGAUACAGCCACUGCAGAGGACGCCGACGUCUCCAAUGCCAUCCGGAUAUAAAGGUACAUACAGAUUAUCUUACAAAAUACAUUUAUGUAACUCCGUACUUGAUCAGUUAACUGAUAUAGGAAGUUUUUUGUCAAGUAGAUAAAGAACAUCAUUAAUAUCUAUCUGAGUUAAUCUUCAAUAAAUGUCUUAUAAUUACUUUUUGUGUUGUUUCUU